CGGGGUGAGUAAUGUUUGGGAAUCUGGCUUAUGGAGGGGGAUAACUACGGGAAACUGUAGCUAAUACCGCGUAGUGUCGAGAGACGAAAGUGCGGGACCGCAAGGCCGCAUGCCAUGAGAUGAGCCCAAGUGGGAUUAGGUAGUUGGUGGGGUAAAGGCCUACCAAGCCUGCGAUCUCUAGCUGGUCUGAGAGGAUGGCCAGCCACACUGGAACUGAGACACGGUCCAG
rnacentral:rRNA from 1 species